CGUUGUUCGCUCCGUUCGUGCCUAGCCGAGCUGGCAGCACAUAAUCGACAGAAGGCGUGGCUGGCGCGGCGGGGAAACCGCGUUCGAGUGGCCCAACAGGGAGCGUCAUCGAGACCUGCGCUUCACAGAGGACCGAGAGGCUGAGCGAUGGCACUCUUGUGUGCGGGAUGUCAGUACGUUACUACACCGUCUCGCUCCCCAGAGCAUACAUAGAGCCAGCAUUCAGUGUCACUGCUGUUGUCUUAAUAAAAAACUAAUCAAGAUGACAGGGCGCCGCUCAGGACCCCACUUUCUCCUGGCAUGUGGCAUGGCACCAACUAUGGCACGUUUGUGGACACUCGGACCUCCCGACUUCAACAGUGUACAACAGUGACAUCUUCCCGAUCCUUCAACAUCGCAUUUACUUACACUUGACAUCUGUGCAUAUUGUAGAUUUUCGCAUGCACUAACAACUGCAUUCUUCUUUCUUUAGAGACCUAUAAACUGAAAGGCGUGCUUUCUAUUUGACCAUGCUUGCAACAGUUGAGCAGGCCCUACAUAUCCCUAUUCAAAAAGACAAGGUUUCUCAAACUUAAAGGCUCCCAGAUUUGGUUUUUGAUUUGGCUUUUUCACAAACGUUUUGUGGCAGCGCAUUUUAAUAAAACAGCUACUAAACAUA